rnacentral:rRNA from 1 species
AAAGCCUGACGCAGCGACGCCGCGUGAGGGAUGAAGGCCUUCGGGUCGUAAACCUCUGUCAGGAGGGAAGAACCGCCAUGGUGCUAAUCAGCCAUGGUCUGACGGUACCUCCAAAGGAAGCCCCGGCUAACUUCGUGCCAGCAGCCGCGGUAAUACGAAGGGGGCUAGCGUUGUUCGGAAUUACUGGGCGUAAAGCGCACGUAGGCGGGCAUUUAAGUCAGGGGUGAAAUCCCAGAGCUCAACUCUGGAACUGCCGUUGAUACUGGGUGUCUUGAGUAUGGAAGAGGUAAGUGGAAUUCCGAGUGUAGAGGUGAAAUUCGUAGAUAUUCGGAGGAACACCAGUGGCGAAGGCGGCUUACUGGUCCAUUACUGACGCUGAGGUGCGAAAGCGUGGGGAGCAAACA